AGUUGGGCACUCUGGCGAAACUGCCCCGGAUAACGGGGAGGAAGGUGGGGAUGACGUCAAGUCCUCAUGGCCUUUAUGUCCAGGGCUACACACGUGCUACAAUGGCAGAUACAAACCGUCGCAAGCCCGCGAGGGGGAGCUAAUCGGAGAAAGUCUGCCUCAGUUCGGAUUGUAGUCCGCUUCUGGACUACAUGAAGCUGGAAUCGCUAGUAAUCGCAGAUCAGCACGCUGCGGUGAAUACGUUCCCGG
rnacentral:rRNA from 1 species